GACGAACGCUGGCGGCGCGCCUAACACAUGCAAGUCGAACGGAGCUGAAAGAAGCUUGCUUUUCUUAGCUUAGUGGCGAACGGGUGAGUAACGCGUGAGUAACCUGCCCUGGAGUGGGGGACAACAGUUGGAAACGACUGCUAAUACCGCAUAAGCCCACGAUCCGGCAUCGGAUUGAGGGAAAAGGAUUUAUUCGCUUCAGGAUGGACUCGCGUCCAAUUAGCUAGUUGGUGAGGUAACGGCCCACCAAGGCGACGAUUGGUAGCCGGACUGAGAGGUUGAACGGCCACAUUGGGACUGAGACACGGCCCAGACUCCUACGGGAGGCAGCAGUGGGGGAUAUUGCACAAUGGGGGAAACCCUGAUGCAGCGACGCCGCGUGGAGGAAGAAGGUUUUCGGAUUGUAAACUCCUGUCGUUAGGGACGAUAAUGACGGUACCUAACAAGAAAGCACCGGCUAACUACGUG
rnacentral:rRNA from 1 species